CAUGCAGUCGACGGCAGCAUGGACUUCGGUCUGAUGGCGAGUGGCGAACGGGUGAGUAAUGCGCCGGAACGUAUCCCGUAAUGGGGGAUAACGCAGCGAAAGCUGUGCUAAUACCGCAUACGCCCCGAGGGGGAAAGCAGGGGACCGCAAGGCCUUGCGUUAUGGGAGCGGCCGACGUCUGAUUAGCUAGUAGGUGGGGUAAAGGCCCACCUAGGCGAUGAUCAGUAGCUGGUCUGAGAGGAUGAUCAGCCACACUGGGACUGAGACACGGCCCAGACUCCUACGGGAGGCAGCAGUGGGGAAUUUUGGACAAUGGGCGCAAGCCUGAUCCAGCCAUUCCGCGUGAGUGAAGAAGGCCUUCGGGUUGUAAAGCUCUUUCGGCAGGGAAGAAACGGUCACGGUGAAUAGCGGUGACUACUGACGGUACCUGAAGAAGAAGCACCGGCUAACUACGUGCCAGCAGCCGCGGUAAUACGUAGGGUGCGAGCGUUAAUCGGAAUUACUGGGCGUAAAGCGUGCGCAGGCGGUUCAUCAAGUCUGACGUGAAAGCCCCGGGCUUAACCUGGGAACGGCGUUGGAAACUGAUGGACUUGAGUGCGGCAGAGGGGGGUAGAAUUCCACGUGUAGCAGUGAAAUGCGUAGAGAUGUGGAGGAAUACCGAUGGCGAAAGGCAGCCCCCUGGGUUGACACUGACGCUCAUGCACGAAGCGUGGGUAGCAAACAGGAUUAGAUACCCUGGUAGUCCACGCCCUAAACGAUGUCAACUAGUUGUUGGGGAGGGAGACCUCCUUGGUAACGCAGCUAACGCGUGAAGUUGACCGCCUGGGGAGUACGUCGCAGAUUAAACUCAAGAUGGACGGGGCCGCACAGCG
rnacentral:rRNA from 1 species